rnacentral:lncRNA from 1 species
GGGGAAUGAGAUCAGUAAAGAAAGUAACUGACUGAAUAGUAUGGCUCAUAAUUAGUAAAUGUCAGCUCAGUUUUUGCUAGGUUUAAGUUUAGUUAGAGAUCUGUCCAUUGGAUAAAAAAUGACUACAAAAUUUUAAUGUGUUCAGUAGCACUGAAGUGAAAUAGAAGAGGAAAACAGUAGGUUUGUAAUGCAAAUUUUUAUCAUUUUAACAAUAAUGCCAAUACCUACUGAGUUUAAUUUCAUUAUUUCAUUCUUUGUUCAGAGGGACCAGUUGUUCUAUUUUUAACCAUAUCUUUUUGAUUUCUGUGUCUGUCAUAAAGACAUUUAUUUAGGAUAUACAUCCUAGCAGUCAAGUUGGAGACCAGUUCUUACUUCACUUUCUAUAUUUUCUUUAAAAAUACAUACCAGAACAUAGUUAUGGGACCGAGUUUAAUGCUGGAUUAAUAAUGAAUGUAUACCUGCAUGAGUGUGCUUUAUGGACCUAGAAGAAAUAAUUGAACAUGAAAGCAGUUUUUGAAGUUACUGUUGCAGGAUAAAUUCAAGUGCCAUUCAAAAUUGCUUUGCACCUGCAAGUAGAAUAAUCAAGGCAUAGAAGGAAUCCUAAAUGACACAGUCUUGCACACUUUGGUUCCUUGAAAAAAAUUAAAAUGUUGCUUAG